rnacentral:rRNA from 1 species
CAGUCGCCGCGGGAAUACAGAGGUCCCGAGCGUUGUUCGGAUUCACUGGGCGUAAAGGGUGUGUAGGAGGUUGGAUAAGUCAGGUGUGAAAUCCCGCAGCUCAACUGCGGAACUGCAUUCGAUACUGUUCAACUAGAGGAUCGGAGGGGGAAGCGGAAUUCUUGGUGUAGCGGUGAAAUGCGUAGAUAUCAAGAGGAACACCGGUGGCGAAGGCGGCUUCCUGGAAGAUACCUGACUCUGAAACACGAAAGCCAGGGGAGCGAAUGGGAUUAGAUACCCCCGUAGUCCCUGUCUCUUAUAC